AGAGUUUGAUCCCAGCUCAGGAUGAACGCUAGCGGUGCGCCUAAUACAUGUAAGUCGUGCGAUCGAGCCGAACUGAGUCCCUUCGGGGAUGAUGAUUGGUGACGGAGCGGCGGACGGGUGAGUAACGCGUGGCUAACCUACCCUCUUGACGGGGACAACCACCCGAAAGGGCGGCUAAUACCCGAUAUUGUCUGGAACCGAUGGGUUCCUUUCCAAAGGCGGUCAUGCCGCCGCAAGGGGAUGGGGCUGCGUCCUAUUAGCUAGUUGGUGAGGUAACGGCCCACCAAGGCUUCGAUGGGUAGCUGGUCUGAGAGGACGGCCAGCCACAUUGGGACUGAGAUACGGCCCAGACUCCUACGGGAGGCAGCAGUGGGGAAUCUUGGCCAAUGGACGAAAGUCUGAGCCAGCGACACCGCGUGGGGAUGAAGGCCUUCGGGUUGUAAACCUCUUUUCUGGGGAAAGAAUAAGGACGGGAGGAAAUGCCCGCCCGAUGACGGUACUCCAGGAAUAAGCAUCGGCUAACUCUGUGCCAGCAGCCGCGGUAAGACAGAGGAUGCGAGCGUUAUCCGGAAUUACUGGGCGUAAAGGGCGUCUAGGCGGUUCGGUAAGUCGUUUGUGAAAUCCCUCGGCUCAACCGAGGAAGGUCUUGCGAUACUGCCGGGCUUGGGUGCAGGAGAGGAGGGUGGAACUCACAGAGUAGCGGUGGAAUGCGUAGAUACUGUGAGGUACCCCGAUGGCGAAGGCAACCCUCUGGCCUGCUACCGACGCUGAAGCGCGAAAGCGUGGGGAGCAAAGGGGAUUAGAUACCCCCGUAGUCCACGCCCUAAACAAUGUUCACUUGGUGUCGGCCGCUCAUACUGGUCGGUGCCGAAGCUAACGCGUUAAGUGAACCGCCUGAGGAGUACGGCCGCAAGGCUAAAACUCAAGAGAAUUGACGGGUCCCUGCACAAGCGGUGGAGCACGUGGUUUAAUUCGACGAUAAACGAAACCUCACCCAGGCUUGACAUACUAGUGGUAGGAACCUGAAAGGGGGACGACUCUGCCUUCGGGUAGAGAGCUAGUACAGGUGAUGCAUGGCUGUCGUCAGCUCGUGUCGUGGGAUGUUGGGUUCAGUCCCGAAACGAGCGCAACCCUUGUCGUUAGUUGCCAGCGGGUAAUGCCGGGGACUCUAACGAGACUGCUGGUGAAUAGCCGGAGGAAGGCGGGGAUGACGUCAAGUCAUCAUGUCCCUUAUGCCUGGGGCGACACACAUGCUACAAUGGGGGGUACAAAGGGUCGCAAUCCCGUAAGGGGGAGCCAAUCCAUAAAAACCCCUCCCAGUUCGGAUUGAGGUCUGCAACUCGACCUCAUGAAGUCGGAAUCGCUAGUAAUCGCGGGUCAGCCAUACCGCGGUGAAUAUGUACUCAGGGAUUGUACACACCGCCCGUCACACCAACCGAGUGGGGGGUACCUGAAGUCGCUCUUCUGAGGGCGCCUAGGGUAACUUCCGCAAGAGGGGUGAAGUCGUAACAAGGUA
rnacentral:rRNA from 1 species